GACAGAGGAUGCAAGCGUUAUCCGGAAUGAUUGGGCGUAAAGCGUCUGUAGGUGGCUUUUCAAGUCCGCCGUCAAAUCCCAGGGCUCAACCCUGGACAGGCGGUGGAAACUACCAAGCUGGAGUACGGUAGGGGCAGAGGGAAUUUCCGGUGGAGCGGUGAAAUGCAUUGAGAUCGGAAAGAACACCAAUUGCGAAGGCAGCUCGCUGGGACGUUACUGACGCUGAGACGCGAAAGCGUGGGGAGCAAACAGG
rnacentral:rRNA from 1 species